CCUACGGGAGGCAGCAGUGGGGAAUAUUGCGCAAUGGAGGCAACUCUGACACAGCAACGCCGCGUGAAUGAUGAAGGUCUUCGGAUUGUAAAGUUCUGUGAUGGGGGAUGAACACAAUGACGGUACCCUAAGAGCAAGCCACGGAUAACUACGUACCAGCAGCCGCGGUAAUACGGAGGUGGCAAGCGUUAUCCGGAAUGACUGGGCGUAAAGGGUGCGUAGGUGGUUUAGUAAUUUGGCGGUGUAAUUCCGGGGCUCAACCUCGGCGCUACCGCCAAAACUAUUAGACUAGAGUGCAGGAGGGGUAAGUGGAAUUCCUAGUGUAGCGGUGGAAUGCGUAGAUAUUAGGAGGAACAUCAGGGGCGAAGGCGACUUACUGGACUGUAACUGACACUGAGGCACGAAAGCGUGGGGAGCAAACAGGAUUAGAUACCCCAGUAGUC
rnacentral:rRNA from 1 species